rnacentral:rRNA from 1 species
CGCGUAGGUGGUUUGGUAAGAUGGAUGUGAAAUCCCCGGGCUCAACCUGGGAACUGCAUCCAUAACUGCCUGACUAGAGUACGGUAGAGGGUGGUGGAAUUUCCUGUGUAGCGGUGAAAUGCGUAGAUAUAGGAAGGAACACCAGUGGCGAAGGCGACCACCUGGACUGAUACUGACACUGAGGUACGAAAGCGUGGGGAGCAAACA